rnacentral:rRNA from 1 species
AUUGAACGCUGGCGGCAGGCCUAACACAUGCAAGUCGAGCGGAUGAAGGGAGCUUGCUCCUGGAUUCAGCGGCGGACGGGUGAGUAAUGCCUAGGAAUCUGCCUGGUAGUGGGGGAUAACGUCCGGAAACGGGCGCUAAUACCGCAUACGUCCUGAGGGAGAAAGUGGGGGAUCUUCGGACCUCACGCUAUCAGAUGAGCCUAGGUCGGAUUAGCUAGUUGGUGGGGUAAAGGCCUACCAAGGCGACCAUCCGUAACUGGUCUGAGAGGAGGAUCAGUCACACUGGAACUGAGACACGGUCCAGACUCCUACGGGAGGCAGCAGUGGGGAAUAUUGGACAAUGGGCGAAAGCCUAAUCCAGCCAUGCCGCGUGUGUGAAGAAGGUCUUCGGAUUGUAAAGCACUUUAAGUUGGGAGGAAGGGCAGUAAGUUAAUACCUUGCUGUUUUGACGUUACCAACAGAAUAAGCACCGGCUAACUUCGUG